rnacentral:rRNA from 1 species
AGUACGCGUGUUCACCAUGCCAGAGGAAAAGGAUUACCUAGGGAAAUUGAGGGACAAACCACAAAGGUCAUAAUUUUGAAAUGAUUUAAGACUAAAAUCUAUAUGGCAUCUCAUUGGGAUGGGACCGAUCAAUCAGUUGGUGAGGUAAUGGCAACCAAACCUAAAACCGGUCGGGAUGUGAGAGGAGAAGCCCGGAGAUGGUCACGAGACAUGGGCCCAGGCCUUAUGGGGCGCAGCAGGCGUGAAAACUUUGCAAUAAGCGAAAGCUAGACAGGGGUAUUCUGAGUGAUUUCCGGGAAGGAAAUCUUUUGGCACCUCUAAAAAUGGAGCAGAAUAAGGGGUGGGCAAGCCGGGUGUCAGCCGCCGCGGUAAUACCAGCACCCCGAGUGGUCGGGACGAUUAUUGGGCCUAAAGCAUCCGUAGCCGGUUCUACAAGUCUUCCGUUAAAUCCACCUGCUUCACAGAUGGGCUGCGGAGGAUACUAUAGAGCUAGGAGGCGGGAGAGGCAAGCGGUACUUAGUGGGUAGGGGUAAAAUCCGUUGAUCCAUUGAAGACCACCAGUGGCGAAGGCGGCUUGCCAGAACGCACUCGACGGUGAGGGAUGAAAGCUGGGGGAGCAAACCGGAUUAGAUACCCGGGUAGUCCCAGCUGUAAACGAAGCAGACUCGGUGAUGAAUAGGCUUCGUGCCUAUUCAGUGCCGCAGGGAAGCCGUUAAGUCUGCCGCCUGGGGAGUACGGUCGCAAGACUGAAACUUAAAGGAAUUGGCGGGGGAGCACCACAAGGGGUGAAGCCUGCGGUUCAAUGGAGUCAACGCCGGAAAUAGAAUUAUUCGCGCCCGCCACGGCGGCCGGAGCAUGAGAAAUGGCCGCCACAU